UGCCCAGCAGCUCUUAUCCCACCUCCUCGUGGUACCGGCCGGAAACUAUCAGCAACCUUAGGGAAGAUCUGGUAACCAACCCCGGUGGGAAUUUUGGAAGUAGGCUGACAGGGAAGG
rfam:Aedes albopictus isolate Foshan contig104462, whole genome shotgun sequence.